GUUCAUUCAUAAUUUUCAUUUUAAAAGUGUAUUGAUUCCUUCUGCAAAUCCAUACUGUCAUGCCUAUUACCCAAUAUCGUCAACGCGGAUAGUUCGUUAGUCGAAAAUACUGAAUAAUUAAACAAACCAAAUGGCAUCACUGGUGGUUCUUUUUUCCACUCCGCUAAACUGUCAUCUCAAACAAAAACAAAUGGAUCAUACAACUGCUAUGAAUACAUUCGACUCGUUUGCUUCCAUCAAUCGCAGUAACCUUCAACCCCUGUUGGCAAUGCCGGGGGACAGCAUCAACAGCAGCAGCAGCAGAAUUUGACCAUGGUAUGGUAUUGCGAAGAACUUUCCCCAUUAGAGGUUCCGUGCUUCGCGCACAUUCAAAAUCCUCUUCAGACACGAAAACUCAACGACAAGGAGGUAUUUAUCAACUUGCUCAGCUGAAUUACCACCCGGAGGAACCCGAAUGCACUGAUUCCGUUGUAUAGUAGAAUGAAAAUAGGCGAGGUAAGCGAACGUAAUCGCAUGAUAUUUUAAUAGUUCGCAUUUUUAUCCGGAUCAUACAACUGCUAUCAAUACAUCCGACUCAAUCAAUCGGCGAGUGAGAAAGAUGAUUUCCCUCAUCACCACAUUGCUUAUUCCCACUUCUGUCACGCCAGCCAACAGCAUCAGCUUUCCCGCAGCAGUAUCCCUUAAGUCCAGGGUGCUAUUCCGGGCAACAGCAUCAUCAGUAACAGCAGCAGGACCUGGCCAUCGAUAGUAUUUCGAGCAAUUUUCCCCAUCGGAGAUCCCGUGCUUCACGCACAUUGAAGAAACCUCCUCAGCCACAUAUGUGUGUCAAGGAGAAAAAGGAGCUGGAUUCGAAUCGUCAAUCCAGACAACCUGAAUGCACCGAUUGCAUUAUAUAUCUUGUUUAUAUUUUAUAUACAUUUUGUGUUUUUUUGAAUAAAAUGAUUAAAAUCGA